AAAAAAGCUCUUCGAGGUUUGAUGGAGUUAGUACUUUAGACCGACCAGAUCGGUUCAAAGAUACAGAAUUGUUACGAGACUCUGAAAAACACGUUAAAUCAUUUAAAAUCUGUUGCUGGGCAUCAAAAUCUGGCAACAAAUUAAGAUCCUCAGGUCGGAUAUCUCGGGCACUAAGGGAUGAUCUCAAGCGACUUGAUUGAAG
rnacentral:misc_RNA from 1 species